GUGUCCUGGAACACUUGGGACUUUAUAAAUGCUUUUUGUUGAUGAGUUGAUAAUUGGGGUCACAAAUAGCCUCAUUUUUCUCCCAUUUCCUGCAAACACAUCUCAGGUAUCAACUUUCUUCGCUGUGAGCAGUUCUGAGUCCCCGUCUUCCUUCCAGAGAGUUUCAGGAAAGAGCCUCUUUCUUAAUAACUUGUAUCAUGAUGUCUUCAUGCUUUCCUUGCACUCACUCUGCCUUUGGCAGGUACAACAACUGCAUCCUGAUUGGGAGAAUUCUCCGCAGACUAGCUUCUGGUGAUGCACAUUUCAAACUAAUUCCUUCUGGUUCCAUAUACCACAGGACACAGUCAUGUCCUAUGUGACCUCUCGUCCUGGCCUCUAGCAUCACAGCGCCGGAAGAAGGAAGAGGAGGAAGAGGAAGAGGAGGAGGAGGAAGAGGAGAAGAAGAACAGACAGCCUCCUCCAAUUUCCCAGCUGGGUGAUGGUGCCAUCUUGAAAGUAAACCCCCAGUCCCCGUUAAGCUGACACUGAGUGAGUAAGGGCAAGCUGUAGAUUCAGGAGCAGGAUAAGUGACUGUUGUUGUUUUAAGCCCUUACAUUCUGGAGAAGUUUGUCACGCAGCAAUAGGUAACUGAUACAUCACAGAUCCUUCCACUCUCUCCGUGACCACACCUCACAGUUCCCUGCCUCUGUGCCUUUUCUCAUUCCUUUUCUUCCAUCAGCGUGUCGUCUUCCCACUGAAAUCUUACGGCUCCUCAAGGUCUCAUUCAAUUGGCACUUCCUCCAGGAAGCUCUCCUGGUUGUGAUCUCUUCCCCCUCAGAACUCUUGGAAAACUUUGUUUCUACCACUUAUAUAGUACUUAUUGCCAGGAUUGAUAUCCAACAUAUUUAGCAACUGGCUAAGCCAAGUACUGACCAAUCAGAAGGGAGGCCUCCUGAGUUCGCAGCCCUGUGAUUUCCUUGCCCUGCAGCCAAGCUGGUUCCACACAGACUUAGCUCCUCUUCCAGCCUGCCAGCACCUUCAGGGCGGGGCACCUCAUCUCUCCGCCGUCCUCCAGACCUGCUCUUGUUGACUUGGCAGAACCUGUGAGGUGGAAGAGCAGGCAGCUAUGAUGAAUACUCGUUAAAGAAAAACGUCUGUGCUGAGUCCGCCGGAGAGGAGAUGUCAGAAAAGACAUUAGUCUUUGUCUGUAUCUGUCAUUCGAAGAAGGAACCAAUUUCAAAAUCAUAUCUCACACUUUCUCCUCCCCUGAGUCACAGAGCAAGCUUACCAUUCCUGUGUUCACUCACUGAACACAGACUGAGCCCUGCCGUGCCCGGGGGCUGGGAUUCAGAGAAGAAAUGCUGUCCAUGGAGCCACUGCACACGUCAGGGAACGGGGACAGCCGAGGGGGUCUAGGGAGACUCCGGGAUUGAGACAACUCAAUUCACCAACUCAACCGAACACCAACUUUUUUUUAACUUUGCUGAUAAACUUACUUACCACGGUGGCAAUGCUCUCAUUUUAGAAGCACACAGCAAUUCUCCUCUAGUGGAUCUCUAAUUACCCAGGUGUGGCCGAGGACAGCCGGAUGCCGAUGUGGGCGAUGGUGGCACCUGCAUCAUCCGGCUGCCUUUGCUGGGCCUCAGGUUGUGUGGACGGAUAGCUGUGCUCUGGGGCUGUGAUGCUCAGAGUUUCCACUUCACCGUUUUUCAGCUCCCUGGAGCUCCACACAGUCCCCAGUGUCUUGAGAUGACCAGCGGGGCUGAGGGGAUGGGUUUGCACGUCAAGAAGCAAAGUUGUACAACACCCUUUAGAUUGUCCCGUCCAAGAGCCACCUGGGGCAGUUGAACACUUGAAAUGUUGUUAGUCUGACUUGAGAUGUGCUGUAUGUAUAAAAUACACAAUGGAUUUUGGAGACCAAGUUUAAAAAAAAGAAUGCAAACAUCUCUCUGAAGUUUUGAUAUGGAUUACAUGUUGAAAUAUUAUUUUUGGACAU